GACGAACGCUGGCGGCGUGCCUAAUACAUGCAAGUAGGACGCAGUUGCGAACGGGUGAGUAACGCGUAGGUAUCUCUCCCUUACAGGGGGAUAACUAUUGGAAACGAUAGCUAAUACCGCAUACUAGUAGAUGGACCUGCGUUUGAUUAGCUAGUAGGUAGGGUAAAGGCCUAACUAGGCAACUAUACAUAGCCGACCUGAGGGGGGGAUCGGCCAAACUGGGAAUGAGACACGGCCCAGACUCCUACGGGAGGCAGCAGUAGGGAAGCUUUGGCAAUGGGGGGAACGCUGACCGGGCAACGCCGCGUGAGUGAAGAAGGUUUUCGGAUCGUAAAGCUCUGUUGUUAAGGAAGCGGUACUUAACCAGAAAGGGACGGCUAACUACGUGCCAGCAGCCGCGGUAAUAC
rnacentral:rRNA from 1 species